rnacentral:rRNA from 1 species
AGUGAACGCUGGCGGCAGGCUUAACACAUGCAAGUCGAACGGCAGCACAGUAAGAGCUUGCUCUUACGGGAGGCGAGUGGCGGACGGGAGAGGAAUACAACGGAAUCUACACUUUCGUGGGGGAUAACGUAGGCAAACUUACUCUAAUACUGAACAUGACCUACGGGUGAAAGCAUGGUAUCUUUGGAUCUUGUGCGAUUGAAUAAGUCGCUGUCGGAUUAGCUAGUUGGCGGGGUAACGGCCCACCAAGUCGACGAUGCGUAGCUGGUCUGAGAGGAUGAUCAGCCACACUGGAACUGAGACACGGUCCAGACUCCUACGGGAGGCAGCAGUAGGGAAUAUUGGGCAAUGGGCGAAAGCCUGACGCAGCAAUACCGCGUGAGUGAUGAAGGUCUUCGGGUCGUAAAGCACUUUUGUUGGGAAAGAAAAGCUGUGGGAGAAUCCAUCGAUGUUCUGACGGUACCGAAUCAAAAAGCCCCGGCUAACUACGUG